GCUGCUGGAGCAUCAGGACUGUCUGUGUCCCGAUCCGUCGGAUCCUCUUCAGCAGCUGCUGCAGGAUCUGGGCUCAGUGCAGUCUGUUCAGGAUCUCGUAGGAGAAGGGCAGCUCAACCCUUCAGAUCCUAAUGCAGAGCAGACUUUGUCAAAGAUGGAGGUUUCUCUGACCCUCACCAGCAAGUUUGACGUCUUCAGGAGCUCUGAUGACAAGUCUGACGCGCGAGGGAUCCUGCUGAGCACUAAACAGUUGAUCAUCGAUGUGAUCAGAACGCAGCCCGGCGACACACUCAGUGAGGUGCUGCGAGUCUUCGCCUCCAGAG